rnacentral:rRNA from 1 species
ACACGACUCUCGGCAACGGAUAUCUCGGCUCUCGCAUCGAUGAAGAACGUAGCGAAAUGCGAUACCUGGUGUGAAUUGCAGAAUCCCGCGAACCAUCGAGUCUUUGAACGCAAGUUGCGCCCGAGGCCACCUGGCCGAGGGCACGCCUGCCUGGGCGUCACG